AGGUCAAGUGAAGAAGGGCGCACGGUGAAUGCCUUGGCACUGGAAGCCGAUGAAGGACGCGACUAACCGCGAAAGUCUUCGGGGAGCCGUAAGUAGGCUUUGAUCCGGAGGUCUCCGAAUGGGGGAACCCAGCAUGUGCAGACAUGCUAUCCUUAAGUGAAUACAUAGCUUAAGGAGGGAACACGCAGUGAACUGAAACAUCUAAGUAGCUGCAGGAAGAGAAAGAAAUAUCGAUUUCCCAAGUAGCGGCGAGCGAACAGGAAAGAGCCCAAACCGGCAGAUUUAUCUGCCGGGGUUGUAGGACUGAGACAUGGCACUUCAGAGGAUAGCAGAAGCGUUUGGGAAAGCGCGCCAGAGAGGGUGAGAGCCCCGUAAGCGAAAUCCAAAGGAGGCCUAUCAGUAUCCUGAGUAGGGCGGGACACGUGAAAUCCCGUUUGAAUCCGCGAGGACCAUCUCGCAAGGCUAAAUACUAACCAGUGACCGAUAGUGAACCAGUACCGUGAGGGAAAGGUGAAAAGAACCCCGGGAGGGGAGUGAAAGAGAACCUGAAACCGUGUGCCUACAAGUAGUCAGAGCCCGUUAACGGGUAAUGGCGUGCCUUUUGUAGAAUGAACCGGCGAGUUGCGUUAGUCAGCAAGGUUAAGUCAGAAAAGACGGAGCCGUAGCGAAAGCGAGUCUGAAGAGGGCGAAUAGUUGGCUGACGCAGACCCGAAACCAAGUGACCUACCCAUGACCAGGUUGAAGGCACGGUAAAACGCGCUGGAGGACCGAACCCACGUAAGUUGAAAAUUGCGGGGAUGAGUUGUGGGUAGCGGUGA
rnacentral:rRNA from 1 species